ensembl:lncRNA
CAUGGCAACAAUGGAGGCCAAGAUGGAGGCCAAGAUGGAGGCCAAGAUGGAGGCCAAUAUGGCUGCCAAUAUGGCUGCCAAGAUGGAGGCCAAGAUGGCGGACAAGACGGAGGCCAAUAUGGCUGCCAAUAUGGCUGCCAAGCCGCCCCCACCCCCCGCAUCCCCGCCAUGUUCCGCCCCGCCCCCCCCGUCCCCACAUCCUCCUCCCGCCCCCCAAGUCGGUUCCGGGUUCUGCCCCACAUCCUCCCCACCCCAUGGGGGUCCCAUAGGGGCCGUGACCAUGCGCGGGGCCCCACGGCGAGACCCCACCCCGCCCCCCCUGACCCACCCGGCCCUACAGCGGCGCAGUGGGAACACCAUCACCGUCAGACCCCGACGGGGGGCGGCCAAUGAGGGGGGGGGGGCUGCGCCCCAUAACAACGACCCCCCGGCCCCACAAGUGACCCCAAAGAAGCGCUACCCCACGGCAGAGGAGAUCCAGGUCAUUGGGGGGUACCUGGCUCUGCCCCGAUCCUGCCUGGCCAAGAACGACCCCCAUAGGAAGAAGGUGAGUCAGUGCGGACCCCCACCCCAUAUUGGGACCCCCACCCCAUAUUGUGACCCCCACCCCAUAUCUGGGACCCCCACCCCAUAUCUGGGACCCCCACCCCAUAUUGUGCCCUCCACCCCAUAGGAAGAAGGUGAGUCAAUGAGGACCCCCACCCCAUAUUGGGACCCCCACCCCAUAUUGUGGGACCCCCAUCCCAUAUUGGGACCCCCACCCCAUAUCUGGGACCCCCAACCCCAUAUUGUGGGACCCCCACCCCAUAUUGGGACCCCCACCCCAUAUUGUGGGACCCCCACCCCAUAUUGGGACCCCCCAACCCUAUAUUGUGGGACCCCCAACCCUAUAUUGUGGGACCCCCACCCCAUAUUGUGACCCCCAUCCCAUAUUGGGACCCCCACCCCAUAUUGUGGGACCCCCACCCCAUAUUGGGACCCCCACCCCAUAUUGUGGGAGCCCCACCCCAUAUUGGGACCCCCACCCCAUAUUGUGGGAGCCCCACCCCAUAUCUGGGACCCCCACCCCAUAUUGGGACCCCCACUCCAUAUUGUGGGACCCCCACCCCAUAUUGGGACCCCUACCCCAUAUCUGGGACCCCCACCCCAUAUUGUGGGACCCCCACCCCAUAUUGGGACCCCCACCCCAUAUUGGGACCCCCACCCCAGAUUGGGACCCCCACCCCAUAGAGUGGGACCCCCAACCCCAUAUUGGGACCCCCAUCCCAUAUUGUGGGACCCCCACCCCAUAUUGUGGGACCCCCACCCCAUAUUGGGACCCCCAACCCAUAUUGGGACCCCCACCCCAUAUUGUGUGACCCCCACCCCAUAUUGGGACCCCCACCCCAUAUUGGGACCCCCAACCCUAUAUUGUGUCCCCCCAACCCCAUAUUGUGGGACCCCCACCCCAUACUGGGACCCCCAACCCCAUAUUGGGACCCCCACCCCAUAUCUGGGACCCCCACCCCAUAUUGUGGGAGCCCCACCCCAUAUCUGGGACCCCCACCCCAUAGAGUGGGACCCCCAACCCCAUAUUGUGGGACCCCCACCCCAUAUUGGGACCCCCACCCCAUAUGGUGACCCCCACCCCAUAUUGGGACCCCCACCCCAUAUCUGGGACCCCCAACCCCAUA